AGUAAGUAAUCGUGGAUCAGAAUGCCACGGUGAAUACGUUCCCGGGCCUUGUACACACCGCCCGUCACACCAUGGGAGUGGGUUGCAAAAGAAGUAGGUAGCUUAACCUUCGGGAGGGCGCUUACCACUUUGUGAUUCAUGACUGGGGUGAAGUCGUAACAAGGUAACCGUAGGGGAACCUGCGGUUGGAUCACCUCCUUA
rnacentral:rRNA from 1 species